rnacentral:rRNA from 1 species
UCUGGUUGAUCCUGCCAGUAGUCAUAUGCUUGUCUCAAAGAUUAAGCCAUGCAUGUCUAAGUAUAAAUAGUAUACAGUGAAACUGCGAAUGGCUCAUUGAAACAGUUAUAGUUUAUUUGAUAAUUGACAAUUACAUGGAUAACCGUGGUAAUUCUAGAGCUAAUACAUGCUUAAACGCCCGACUUUAUGGAAGGGUGGUAUUUAUUAGACUGAAGCCAAUAUUCCUUGUGUCUAUUGCGGUGAUUCAUAAUAACUGAUCGAAUCUCUUUUUGAGAUAAAUCAUACAAGUUUCUGCCCUAUCAGCUUUCGAUGGUAGUGUAUUGGACUACCAUGGCAGUAACGGGUAACGAAGAUUUAGGGUUCGAUUUCGGAGAGGGAGCAUGAGAAACGGCUACCACAUCUAAGGAAGGCAGCAGGCGCGUAAAUUACCCAAUCCUGACUCAGGGAGGUAGUGACAAGAAAUAGCAAACCGGGAACCUCAUGGUUUCACGGUUUUGCAAUGAGAACAAUUUAAAACCCUUAGCGAGAAUCAAGUGGAGGACAAGUCUGGUGCCAGCACCCGCGGUAAUUCCAGCUCCACUAGCGUAUAUUAAAGUUGUUGCAGUUAAAAAGCUCGUAGUUGAACCUCUGUCUGGGGCUAGUUUUGGCUUUGGUCAGGCUAGUUCUAGGCAUCCGCCUACAAGACUUAGAGGGCAUUCAGUUGUUCACUAGGAGGAGUAGGCAUUUUACUUUGAAAAAAUUAGAGUGUUUAAGGCAGGCAAUCGCCCGCAUAUAUUAGCAUGGAAUAAUAGAAUAGGACACUUUUCCAUUUCGUUGGUUAUUGGAACCGUGUAAUGAUUAAUAGGGACAGUUGUGGGCAUUUGUAUUUAAUUGUCAGAGGUGAAACUCUUGGAUUUAUUAAAGACAAACUGACGCGAAAGCAUUUGCCAAGGAUGUUUUCAUUAAUCAAGAACGAAAGUUAGGGGAUCAAAGACGAUCAGAUACCGUCCUAGUCUUAACUAUAAACUAUUCCGACUCAAUGUUUGACUGGCUUAUAUAACCAGUUGAGCGUUGUAUGAGAAAUCAAAGUCUUUAGGUUCUGGGGGGAGUAUGGUUGCAAAGCUGAAACUUAAAGGAAUUGACGGAAGAGCACAACCAGGAGUGGAUUCUGCGGCUUAAUUUGACUCAACACGGGGAAACUUACCAGGUUAAAACAAUAGUGGGAUUGACAGUUUGAGAGCGCUUUCUUGAUUGGUUGGGUGGUGGUGCAUGGCCGUUCUUAGUUGGUGGAGUGAUUUGUCU